rnacentral:misc_RNA from 1 species
AGUGAAUUGCUAUCACAGCCUAUAACGCCAUAGGCUGUGUGUACCAAGUAAUACAUAUAUUGCUGUGUGUAGUCUUUGCCUGUCAGCCCAUGAUAGGCUUUUUUUUUU